AACGCACAUUGCGCCCGCCGGUACUCCGGCGGGCAUGCCUGUUCGAGCGUCAUUUCAACCCUCAAGCCCAGCUUGGUGUUGGGGCACCCGGCCGCCUGGCGGCCCGGGGCCCUCAAGUGUAUCGGCGGUCUCGUCGGGACUCUGAGCGCAGUAACUCGCGGUAGAACGCGCCUCGCUUGGUCUGUCUCCGGCGGGCUCCAGCCGCUAAACCCCCCCUUUCUCCCAGAGUUGACCUCGGAUCAGGUAGGAUUACCCGCUGAACUUAA
rnacentral:misc_RNA from 1 species